UACGUAGGGUGCGAGCGUUAAUCGGAAUUACUGGGCGUAAAGCGUGCGCAGGCGGUUUUGUAAGUCUGUCGUGAAAGCCCCGGGCUCAACCUGGGAAUUGCGAUGGAGACUGCAAGGCUUGAAUCUGGCAGAGGGGGUAGAAUUCCACGUGUAGCAGUGAAAUGCGUAGAGAUGUGGAGGAACACCGAUGGCGAAGGCAGCCCCCUGGGUCAAGAUUGACGCUCGAUGCACGAAAGCGUGGGGAGCAAACAGG
rnacentral:rRNA from 1 species